UUGAACGCUGGCGGCAGGCCUAACACAUGCAAGUCGCACGGUAACAGGAAGCAGCUUGCUGCUUCGCUGACGAGUGGCGGACGGGUGAGUAAUGUCUGGGAAGCUGCCUGAUGGAGGGGGAUAACUACUGGAAACGGUAGCUAAUACCGCAUAAUGUCGCAAGACCAAAGAGGGGGACCUUCGGGCCUCUUGCCAUCGGAUGUGCCCAGAUGGGAUUAGCUUGUUGGUGGGGUAACGGCUCACCAAGGCGACGAUCCCUAGCUGGUCUGAGAGGAUGACCAGCCACACUGGAACUGAGACACGGUCCAGACUCCUACGGGAGGCAGCAGUGGGGAAUAUUGCACAAUGGGCGCAAGCCUGAUGCAGCCAUGCCGCGUGUAUGAAGAAGGCCUUCGGGUUGUAAGGUACUUUCAGCGGAGAGGAAGGGAGUAAAGUUAAUACCUUUGCUCAUUGACGUUACCCGCAGAAGAAGCACCGGCUAACUCCGUG
rnacentral:rRNA from 1 species